rnacentral:misc_RNA from 1 species
UCCGGUUUAACACCGGCAGUCCCGCUAGAGUGCCCAGCUUUACCUGAUGGCAACUAACGGCGAGGGUUGCGCUCGUUGCGGGACUUAACCCAACAUCUCACGACACGAGCUGACGACAGCCAUGCAGCACCUGUGUUCCCGCCAGCCGAACUGAAGGGUCCCAUCUCUGGAACCCAUACGGGACACGUCAAGGGUAGGUAAGGUUUUUCGCGUUGCAUCGAGUUAAUCCACAUAAUCCACCGCUUGUGCGGGUCCCCGUCAAUUCCUUUGAGUUUUAACCUUGCGGCCGUACUCCCCAGGCGGUCAACUUCACGCGUUAGCUUCGUUACCAAGGAAUUGCUUCCCCGACAACCAGUUGACAUAGUUUAGGGCGUGGACUAC